rnacentral:piRNA from 1 species
UGAUGUAAUUGACCACAAAGAGGACC